rnacentral:rRNA from 1 species
GUGGGGAAUUUUGGACAAUGGGGGAAACCCUGAUCCAGCCAUUCCGCGUGAGUGAAGAAGGCCUUCGGGUUGUAAAGCUCUUUCAGCAGGAACGAAACGGUCGGCUUUAAUAAAGUCGGCUAAUGACGGUACCUGCAGAAGAAGCACCGGCUAACUACGUGCCAGCAGCCGCGGUAAUACGUAGGGUGCGAGCGUUAAUCGGAAUUACUGGGCGUAAAGCGUGCGCAGGCGGCGACAUAAGACAGAUGUGAAAUCCCCGGGCUCAACCUGGGAACUGCGUUUGUGACUGUGUUGCUAGAGUGUAGCAGAGGGGGGUGGAAUUCCACGUGUAGCAGUGAAAUGCGUAGAGAUGUGGAGGAACACCGAUGGCGAAGGCAGCCCCCUGGGUUAACACUGACGCUCAUGCACGAAAGCGUGGGGAGCAAACAGG